rnacentral:rRNA from 1 species
UAGGGAAUCUUCCGCAAUGGGCGAAAGCCUGACGGAGCAACGCCGCGUGAGUGAUGAAGGUCUUCGGAUCGUAAAACUCUGUUAUUAGGGAAGAACAAAUGUGUAAGUAACUAUGCACGUCUUGACGGUACCUAAUCAGAAAGCCACGGCUAACUACGUGCCAGCAGCCGCGGUAAUACGUAGGUGGCAAGCGUUAUCCGGAAUUAUUGGGCGUAAAGCGCGCGUAGGCGGUUUUUUAAGUCUGAUGUGAAAGCCCACGGCUCAACCGUGGAGGGUCAUUGGAAACUGGAAGACUUGAGUGCAGAAGAGGAAAGUAGAAUUCCAUGUGUAGCGGUGAAAUGCGCAGAGAUAUGGAGGAACACCAGUGGCGAAGGCGACUUUCUGGUCUGUAACUGACGCUGAUGUGCGAAAGCGUGGGGAUCAAACAGG